UUACACACGGAGACAGCCUUUGGUUUGUCUCAGCAGAGCGCUUGGGAAGGUCGAGAAGGCCGAUUUCCCUCGGUGGGAAUGUCACGAAAGUAAUGCUUGGGGACCAGCAAUGAGCCUGUUGAAGGUCAGCACAAGAUCCCUUGAGCCAGGUGGUGAAGGGUGAUGCAGUAACCCCUCAGCUAGGUUGGAAACCUCAAGAGGCCCAAAUCAUCGAAGUUCAAUACACAAGGUGGCAACAGCCAUA
rnacentral:RNase_P_RNA from 17 species